GAUGAACGCUAGCGGCAGGCCUAACACAUGCAAGUCGAGGGGCAGCACAGAAACAGCAAUGUUUUGGUGGCGACCGGCGGACGGGUGCGUAACGCGUAUGCAACCUACCUUUAACAGGGGGAUAACGGAGAGAAAUUUCCACUAAUACCCCAUAACAUCGAUCAAGGCAUCUUGAUUGGUUGAAAACUCCGGUGGUUAAAGAUGGGCAUGCGUUGUAUUAGGUAGUUGGUGAGGUAAUGGCUCACCAAGCAUACGAUACAUAGGGGGACUGAGAGGUUAGCCCCCCACACUGGUACUGAGACACGGACCAGACUCCUACGGGAGGCAGCAGUGAGGAAUAUUGGUCAAUGGGGGCAACCCUGAACCAGCCAUGCCGCGUGCAGGAAGACGGCUCUAUGAGUUGUAAACUGCUUUUAAACAGGGAUAAAGCACAGUAUGUAUACUGUGUUGAAGGUACUGUAAGAAUAAGGAUCGGCUAACUCCGUGCCAGCAGCCGCUGUAA
rnacentral:rRNA from 1 species